GAUAAAGACAGACGGUUCUGAAAUAAGAUUGCAAAUCUCAUUUACAAGGGUUCAAGUCCCUUCUUUAUCU
rnacentral:tRNA from 1 species